rnacentral:rRNA from 1 species
UACGGGGGGAGCAAGCGUUGUUCGGAUUUACUGGGCGUAAAGGGCGCGUAGGCGGCCACCGCAAGUCGACUGUGAAAUCUCCGGGCUUAACCCGGAAAGGUCAGCCGAUACUGCGGGGCUAGAGUGCAGAAGGGGCAACUGGAAUUCUCGGUGUAGCGGUGAAAUGCGUAGAUAUCGGCAGGAACACCCAGGGGGAAACCAGUCGACUGGGCAUCUACUGACGCUGAGGUGCGAGAGCGUGGGGAGCGAACCGG